rnacentral:rRNA from 1 species
AUUGAACGCUGGCGGCAGGCCUAACACAUGCAAGUCGCACGAGUGGCGGACGGGUGAGUAAUGUCUGGGAAACUGCCUGAUGGAGGGGGAUAACUACUGGAAACGGUAGCUAAUCCCGCAUACCAUCGGAUGUGCCCAGAUGGGAUUAGCUAGUAGGUGGGGUAAAGGCUCACCUAGGCGACGAUCCCUAGCUGGUCUGAGCGGAUGACCACCCACACUGGAACUGAGACACGGUCCAGACGCCUACGGUAGGCAGCAGUGGUGAAUAUUGCACAAUGGGCGAAAGCCUGAUGCAGCCAUGCCGCGUGGAUGAAGAAGGCCUUCGGGUUGUAAAGUACUUUCAGGGGGGAGGCGUUACCCGCAGAAGAAGCACCGGCUAACUCCGUGCCAGCAGCCGCGGUAAUAC